GCCUGGGUAGCUCAGUUGGUAGAGCAUCAGACUUUUAAUCUGAGGGUCCAGGGUUCGUAUUCCUACUUGGGCA